CAGUAGCCGCGGUAAUACGGAGGGUGCAAGCGUUAAUCGGAAUUACUGGGCGUAAAGCGCACGCAGGCGGUCUGUCAAGUCGGAUGUGAAAUCCCCGGGCUCAACCUGGGAACUGCAUUCGAAACUGGCAGGCUAGAGUCUUGUAGAGGGGGGUAGAAUUCCAGGUGUAGCGGUGAAAUGCGUAGAGAUCUGGAGGAAUACCGGUGGCGAAGGCGGCCCCCUGGACAAAGACUGACGCUCAGGUGCGAAAGCGUGGGGAGCAAACAGGAUUAGAUACCCGAGUAGUCCCUGUCUCUUAUAC
rnacentral:rRNA from 1 species